UCGAGAAUCUUCCGCAAUGGGCGCAAGCCUGACGGAGCGACGCCGCGUGUGGGAUGAAGGCCUUCGGGUUGUAAACCACUGUCGUAGAGGAGGAAAUGCUCUGGGGUUCUCCCCCAGGGUUUGACCUAUUCUAGGAGGAAGGGUGGGCUAAGUUCGUGCCAGCAGCCGCGGUAAGACGAACCACCCAAACGUUAUUCGGAAUUACUGGGCUUAAAGGGUGCGUAGGCGGCGCGGAAAGUUGGGUGUGAAAUCCCUCGGCUCAACCGAGGAACUGCGCCCAAUACUACCGUGCUUGAGGGAGAUAGAGGUGAGCGGAACUUAGGGUGGAGCGGUGAAAUGCGUUGAUAUCCUAAGGAACACCGGUGGCGAAAGCGGCUCACUGGAUCUCUUCUGACGCUGAGGCACGAAAGCUAGGGUAGCGAACGGGAUUAGAUACCCGAGUAGUCCCUGAGCGGGCUGGCAAGGCGCAU
rnacentral:rRNA from 1 species